rnacentral:rRNA from 1 species
AUGGAGGAAGAUUGGUGCUUAUUAAUCACAAGUAUGCCGAUGUUCCUCCUCUCUUUCUUUGAAGUCCCGGUUGGGGUAUGGAAAAGAUUGGACUUUUAUCGAUCUAGAUUCUUCUGGAAAAUUGAUGAGAACAAAAAUAAGUAUCGUUUGGCAAAGUGGGAUGUAAUUUGUAGACCAAAGGACCAGGGAGGAUUGGGAAUUGAAAACUUAGAGGUGAAAAAUAGGUGCUUACUAAGCAAAUGGCUGUACCGAUUAUGCACAGAAAGUGACAGAGUUUGGGCUCAGUUAUUGCGUAACAAAUAUCUCUAUGCCAAAACACUAGCCCGGGUUACGGCAAAAGCGACUGACUCACCAUUCUGGAAAGGGAUUAUGAGGACAAAAGUGGCGUUCUUUAACAGGAUUAAAUUUAUCAUCAGGAAUGGACGGGAUACUCGAUUUUGGGAGGAUACUUGGUUAGGAGAUUCGUCGCUGGCCUUACAGUAUCCUUCCCUUUACAACAUUGCGCAACGGAAAGAGGUUUCCGUUGCUACAGUGAUGGGUACUAUCCUGCUUAACAUACAGUUUAGACGGUUUGUUAUUGGCGACCGUUGGACUAGGUGGAUACAUCUUGUGCGUAGGUUAAUGGAGGUUAACCUUUCGAAUGUACCAGACACUUUGCAAUGGAAGCUUUCCAGCCCAGGGGUCUUCUCGGUUAAAUCCAUGUACAUGGAUUUGAUUAAUACCGGGACCAUCCCGAGGACGGUUCAUAUUUGGAAAGUUAAGGUGCCCUUGAAGAUAAAAGUUUUUAUGUGGUUUGUGCAUAAGGGUGUCAUUCUUACUAAAGAUAACUUAGUUAAGGGUAAGUGGGAAGGAAGUAAAAGAUGCUGCUUUUGUGAUCAGGAUGAAACAAUAGAACAUCUAUUUAUCAAAUGUCCACUUGCUAAACUGCUUUGGAGAACUAUCCAUGUUACA